GCUCCCUGAUGUUAGCGGCGGACGGGUGAGUAACACGUGGGUAACCUGCCUGUAAGACUGGGAUAACUCCGGGAAACCGGGGCUAAUACCGGAUGGUUGUUUGAACCGCAUGGUUCAAACAUAAAAGGUGGCUUCGGCUACCACUUACAGAUGGACCCGCGGCGCAUUAGCUAGUUGGUGAGGUAACGGCUCACCAAGGCAACGAUGCGUAGCCGACCUGAGAGGGUGAUCGGCCACACUGGGACUGAGACACGGCCCAGACUCCUACGGGAGGCAGCAGUAGGGAAUCUUCCGCAAUGGACGAAAGUCUGACGGAGCAACGCCGCGUGAGUGAUGAAGGUUUUCGGAUCGUAAAGCUCUGUUGUUAGGGAAGAACAAGUACCGUUCGAAUAGGGCGGUACCUUGACGGUACCUAACCAGAAAGCCACGGCUAACUACGUGCCAGCAGCCGCGGUAAUACGUAGGUGGCAAGCGUUGUCCGGAAUUAUUGGGCGUAAAGGGCUCGCAGGCGGUUUCUUAAGUCUGAUGUGAAAGCCCCCGGCUCAACCGGGGAGGGUCAUUGGAAA
rnacentral:rRNA from 2 species